UGUAAGCGUAUACCAAAGUUGUUGCAGUUAAAACGCUCGUAGUCGGAAUUUGGCAGUUCCGGAAGUGUGCACGUCGUGUGCGCACUUUGCGGGGACUGCUUUUGUGGUCUUGCGUAGGAUGAGGCACUUUCAUUAGUGAACGUCCUCACGCAACCACUCUUUACUGUGAGAAAAUCAGAGUGCUCAAAGCAGGCAUUUGCCGUGAAUGUAUUAGCAUGGAAUAAUAGAAUAGGACUCGGUUCUAUUUUGUUGGUUUGUUGGGACUGAGUAAUGAUUAAGAGGGACAGUUGGGGGCAUUUGUAUUCCGGCGCUAGAGGUGAAAUUCUUAGAUUGCCGGAAGACAAACUGCUGCGAAAGCGUCUACCAAGGAUGUUUUCAUUGA
rnacentral:rRNA from 1 species